rnacentral:lncRNA from 1 species
GAAAUACACUAAUUAUGAUUUUAGAUCCGUAUACGUUAACUCCAACUUCCAAGGUUAUUGCAUUGAACAUGUAAUGGAUUGGAUUGAAGCUGUUGAUAAUCAAAAUCAAAUGCACACUGUGCAACAAGAGAAAGAAAAAAAAUCAAAUAAUACUAGUGCACUAAGGGUGUGUUUGGUUGUGAAAAGAAAAUAAGUGGAGAGAAAUAUGUUCGAGGGAGUAUAAGAAGAGAGAAAUAUGUAAGAAAUAGAGAUGAUUUGAUGUAUUGAUUGGUAGAAGAGAGAAAAGUUGAUUAUAUUUAAAAGUACCAAAAUACCCCUAAUAAGAGAACUUCAAUCAAAAUUAAUUUAAUUUUCAAGUAAUUUAUUAGGUAGUAAUUUUUUAACAUUUUAUAUUUAAAUUAACAAAAUUAUUAUUAAUCUAAAGUUAAUUUACGUUUAUUAAAAAUCUUAAACAACAUACUUUUUAAGACAAAGAGAGUAUAAUAUACUCUUUCAUUUUUUUAAUAUAAGAUAAAUUGUACUUUUUAGAUUGACUUAAAUAUGUAACUAGUCUCUACAGUUUCAUUGUCUUUUGAUAUUAGUUCCUACACUUUUUUUGGUUGGGUCUAAGUCUUGUAGUUUCUAAACAGUUUGUUUUUAGUCCUUGGUGUUACUCAAACGUUACAAAAAUGGUUGAAAUUAACGGAGUGUCACGUGGACCAACCAAUAUAAGCCACGUGGCAUGGUCGAAGUCUCAUUUUUAUUUUUACUUUUUUGCCAAUUUGAUUUCAUAUUAAUGUUUUAUUAAUAAAAAUAAAUAACCAUGAAAAAGAAACAUUUUUUUGACAAAAAAUGAAAAAGAAAGAUAAAUUGCAUAAAAGAGGGGCUUCCAUCUUCUUCGUGAAACCAUAACUUACCAAACACAAUCAACUCAAGAAGCACCAAAUUUUGCCACUGCAUAUAUCAAUUAUAAAUCUCACUCUUUAGUGUGCAAUAACAAGUUGUAUGAGCACAAAACAUGGAUAACUCUUUUUCUUCUUUUUUUGAAGAAACUAAAUUAGCCCACCCAAAUUGGCAUCAGAGAGAAUCGAACCUCAGAAGUCAGACCUCAAGAGGAGCGCACUCUCAGGUCCCAAGUGGGUUCAUGGAUAACGCUUGUUGACUGAAUGAGGAGAAUAAAACCAAAAGGGCAAUUAAGGUAACAACAAUGAAGAACAAUGGAGUCACAACAACGUAACUCUUUCUUUUAUAUUGAAGCAUUUGAAGCUAACAAUGAAGGUGGGGCUGUUGUGGGGAUUGAUGGAGAUUGGAGAAGAUGAAAUUGGGUGGUGUUGUGGAAUAAGAAGAUAAAUAAGAACACAAAUUGAUGUUUUGCUAAGGAAUAGAUGUGGUUUCACGAAGAAGAAGAUCAUGCCCUCUCUUUAUGCAAUUUCUGUUUCCUUUUCAUAUUAACGACUCAAAAUAAGAUAUAUUAAUAAAAAACAAUCUCUUCAGUACAAGAUCUACUGAAAUGGACUACAAAGAGUCAAAGAAAGAUAAUCAUAAAUAAAUAACACAAGACCCAAACAAAAUAAGAGAUUAGACCACCAACUAUAAUAGUUGAGAACUAAAAUAACUCUCAUCGUCUUCAAUCACCUAUAAAAAAAAUUUAUAUAUUUAAUAUAUUAAAUACUUUAGAUUUUCAAUAAAUCUAAAAAAAAAUAAAAUUUAACUUAUAUUAUUGGAGGGAAUAUUUCAGAAUUCUUACAAGAUCGUCGUCACCACUUACCUGACACCAUUGUCUAACCAUAAUUCGAUUGUACCUUUUUGUGAAGCUGAAAUUUUAUGGUCUAAACUGAUUUGUCCACCUUCUAAGAAAAUGACAACACAACCGCACUUAUUUCUGACAUGACCUACAACAGUGAUCCGUGCUAGUGUAUCAUGCAUUGCUGGGUAUGAGCUCAAAUAUUUCUUGUUUAAGGGACAUACGAAGUUUCAUAUAUAGGCCACAAAUCUGGCCAUUAAACUACAUGUUUUCUAUUUAUACAUCUCUUAUAUUUAGAGUCGGAU